rnacentral:rRNA from 1 species
GUUGUCCGGAAUUAUUGGGCGUAAAGAGCUCGUAGGCGGUCUGUUGCGUCCGCUGUGAAAACUCGGGGCUUAACCCCGAGCCUGCAGUGGAUACGGGCAGACUAGAGGUAGGUAGGGGAGAAUGGAAUUCCCGGUGUAGCGGUGAAAUGCGCAGAUAUCGGGAGGAACACCGGUGGCGAAGGCGGUUCUCUGGGCCUUACCUGACGCUGAGGAGCGAAAGCGUGGGGAGCGAACAGG